AAACUAAAACUAUAUUGAAACUAUAAUCUUAAAUCCAAAAUUAAACUAAAUAAAAAUGUUGGUUUUGAAACAUUAUGUUCUGAGAUGUCUGCCUACAUGCUAUGGAAAGAGUUAGAUUUUUCAGGCUUGGCCCGCCUACCCAAACCCGUGAUUUGUUGGGAGAGUUGUCUGUCUGAAGAGGACCCUCCCUGGAAUUUUUAUUUUUUUUAUGUCCAAGAGAAUCUGACAUCCUCCCCAGACGUAGUGCUGUUGCUCUAGGUCUAGGUCUGUUGCUCUAGGUCUGUUGCUCUAGGUCUGUUGCUCUAGGUCUGUUGCUCUAGGUCUGUUGCUCUAGGUCUAGGUCUGUUGCUCUAGGUCUGUUGCUCUAGGUAUGUUGCUCUAGGUCUGUUGCUCUAGGUCUGUUGGUCUAGGUCUGUUGCUCUAGGUCUGUUGGUCUAGGUCUGUUGCUCUAGGUCUAGGUCUGUUGCUCUAGGUCUGUUGCCCUAGGUCUAGGUCUGUUGCUCUAGGUCUAGGUCUGUUGCUCUAGGUCUAGGUCUGUUGCUCUAGGUCUAGGUCUGUUGCUCCAAGUCUGUUGCUCUAGGUCUGUUGCUCUAGGUCUGUUGCUCUAGGUCUAGGUCUGUUGCUCUAGGUCUAGGUCUGUUGCUCUAGGUCUAGGUCUGUUGCUCUAGGUCUGUUGCUCUAGGUCUGUUGCUCUAGAUCUGUUGCUCUGGGUCUGUUGCUCUAGGUCUGUUGCUCUAGGUCUAGGUCUGUUGCUCUAGGUCUGUUGCUCUGGGUCUGUUGCUCUAGGUCUGUUGCUCUAGGUCUGUUGCUCUAAGCCUGUUGCUCUAGGUCUGUUGCUCUAGGUCUGUUGCUCUAGGUCUAGGUCUGUUGCUCUAGGUCUAGGUCUGUUGCUCUA